rnacentral:rRNA from 1 species
UACGGAGGGUGCAAGCGUUAUCCGGAUUCACUGGGUUUAAAGGGUGCGUAGGAGGGCAGGUAAGUCAGUGGUGAAAUCUCCGAGCUUAACUUGGAAACUGCCGUUGAUACUAUCUGCCUUGAAUAUUGUGGAGGUGAGCGGAAUAUGUCAUGUAGCGGUGAAAUGCUUAGAUAUGACAUAGAACACCAAUUGCGAAGGCGGCUCGCUACACAUAUAUUGACACUGAGGCACGAAAGCGUGGGGAUCAAACAGG